rnacentral:rRNA from 1 species
CAGUUCAGAUUGCAGGCUGCAACCCGACCCUGCAUGAAGUCGGAAUUGCUAGUAAUCGCGGAUCAGCAUGCCGCGGUGAAUACGUUCCCGGGCCUUGUACACACCGCCCGUCACACCAUGGGAGCCGGUAAUACCCGAAGUCAGUAGUCCAACCUCGUGAGGACGCUGCCGAAGGUAGGAUUGGCGACUGGGGUGAAGUCGUAACAAGGUAGC